GACGGAGGGUGCUAGCGUUGUUCGGAAUCACUGGGCGUAAAGGGCGCGUAGGCGGCCUUGCAAGUCGGUUGGUGAAAGCCCGGGGCUCAACCCCGGAGGUGCGGCCGAGACUGCAGGGCUGGAGGCCGGAAGAGGAGGGUGGAAUACCCAGUGUAGAGGUGAAAUUCGUAGAUAUUGGGUGGAACACCGGUGGCGAAAGCGGCUCUCUGGCCCGGAUCGUGACGCUGAGGCGCGAAAGCGUGGGGAGCAAACAGG
rnacentral:rRNA from 1 species